UCUUCAAUGGGGAGGAGAAAGAUUUUGUAAUGAAAGUAUUGGAUGGUUGUGAGUUUUUCCCAGAUAUUGGCAUUGAUGCUCUCAUUAAAAAAUCUCUCAUAAAAGUCGAUGAACACAAAUAUUUGUGGAUGCAUAACUUGUUGCAAGAAAUGGGAAGAAAAAUUGUUAAAGAAAAAUGUGUUGAUGAACCUGGAAAACGUUGCAGAUUAUGGGAGGAAAGAGACGUCUAUCAUGUCCUAACAAAAAACACUGUAAGUCAUUUAACAAAAGUUACAUACUAUUUCUAUUUUGUUAUAUAAUAUCAAAUCAAUAUAUGAUAUAAACCCAAAGCUUAGUCUAAUUGGUUGAUACAACUAUUCUUAAAAAGUGAUCUUUAGUAAUUUUGAGAUUACAAAUAUUAAAAAGGAUUUGUAGAAAUAAAUAUUUAAUUUCAUUGCAUUGCCCUCUUUAGAGGAUAUAUAAUAUUUGUAGAAAUUGUUUUACUUCGUUUAAAAUGCUUUAUUUAUUAUAUUUAGAAUAUAAUAAUGCUAAAUAAAAAUGUAAGUUUUUAAAAGUUUUAUCCUACAUUAUACACCAUUUAUUUUGUUUUCUUAUUUUCUAUUCUUGAUUUUUCUUAGGGUACAAAAAUGAUUGAAGGUAUAAUCAUCAAUAAUAAAAGGUAAGAAGACACAUAAAACUUAUAUUUAUGUGUACUGUAAAUAAUUAUUUUGUUUUCUUAAAUAUGAUAAGAAAUUAUAGCAAAAUCUUUGAUACUCAAUAUUUCAAUGUUUAAUUAUGAAAUUUAUUUAGUAGCGUAUUACUCUUUCAAAAGAAUCAAUAGAGAAAUGUAUGUCUUUUUGAAAUAUUAAUAGUAUAUCAAUGAAUUAGAUUAUAACAUAACUUUUAGAUAUUGAAUGUUUUUGUAUAUUGUGAAGCUCAUUUUCAUUUUGUUUUAUUCAUGAUUAUUAGGGAAUCGAGCAAGAUGCUCAACUUGAGUGUCGAUGCCUUCUCAAAAAUGAAAAAGUUGAGAUUGCUCAAAGUGCUUUGCCUAUCAAAUUGUGAUGAUCUCAAAUUUCUUUCUAAUGAGCUACGGCUUUUAGAUUGGAAAGGAUACCCUUUAAGAUCGUUGCCUUCAAGCUUCCAACCGGACAACCUUGUUGCACUUCUGUUACCAUAUAGUCGCAUUCAACAACUAUGGAAGGGAAAUAGAGUAAGAAUUAACUCAUCUCAUCCUUGUAUUUUAGCUUAUUUUAAUAUAAAUGAUUAAACUUUGAUUAAGGUAAAAAGACAAAAAUAAGCAUUAUUAUGUUUUCUCAUUUGUUUCUAAUUUAUUGUGAUCUUCAACAGCCCUUGUGUAAGUUGAAAAUCAUGAACCUGGAAGGGUCCCAAAACCUGAUCAAGACACCAGACUUCACAACGGCAUCAAAUCUUGAAGUUCUAAUAUUGAAAGGUUGUACCAAAUUAGUGGAUGUUCAUCCAUCAAUCGCAGUACUUAAGAGCCUUAAAGUUUUGAAUUUAAGAGAUUGCAAAAGUCUUAGGAGUCUUCCGACCAUAAUUGGAAUGGAAUCUCUUGAAACAUUAAUUCUUUCCGGUUGCUCAAGUCUUGUAAGGUUUCCGGAGAUUGAUGGGAAAAUGGAACGUCUAAAAACUCUAGAUCUUUCCGGUUGUUUUAGAGUUGAAAAUCUAUCGGAGAAUUUGCAGCAUGCAGAGUUUUUGGAAGAGCUCGACUUGAGUGAAACAGCCAUAACAGAACUACCAUCCUUCAUUUUUCAAUUUAAAAAUCUUAAAGUUCUGUCUUUCAAUGGAUUCGAAAGAGGAAGGACAAAUUCCAUCGCUCCGAUGUUGCCUUUGUUGUCAGGUUUGAGUUCAUUAAGUAAGCUAAAACUAAGGGACUGCUAUCUUUGUGAAGGAGAUAUUCCAAGUGAUAUUUCUGGUCUAUCCUGUUUGAAAGAACUUGAUCUUAGUGGUAACAAUUUCAUCAGCAUACCUGCAUCUCUUACUCGACUCUCCAAGCUUGAAGAGCUUAUAUUGUCAAAUUGUAACAUCUGCACUCUUGGUGAAGCAGAUAUUCAUGGUCUAUCCUCUUUGAAAUGGCUUUUUCUUAACGGUAACAAUUUCAUCACCGUUCCUUUGCCUCUGACUCAACUUUCCAAGCUUAAAUUGCUUGCAUUAUCAAAUUGCAUGAAGCUUAACUCGUUGCCUCAGCUACCAACAAGUAUAGAAGAUGUGUGGCUAGAUGGUUGUUCUUCACUUGAAGUAGUUGCAAGUCCAUCAAAAGUAUGCAAUUUAGUGGAUUCGGCUGCUAUUUUACCCUUUAACUGCUUCAAAUUGGCUGAGAAUAGCAAUGCAUUAACACUGCUGAGAAAACAUCUUAAGGUCGAUUAAUCUCUCUUUUUCUCACUUACAAAAUCUCAUACUUGAGAAUUUAUGGUUUUAGUUACCUAACGACUUGUGUUUUAUUUUGCAGGCAUUUGCAAAUUCAAGAAAAAUGUUUGAUAUUAUCAUGCCAGGAAGUGAAAUCCCAGAAUGGUUUAGCCAACAAAAAGGUGACUUCUUUAUUAAGAUUCCCUUACCGAUUAACCUUCAAGAGGAUAGUGAAUGGAUUGGAGUUGCUUGUUGCUGCAUUUUUGUCAAUAAUGAUGCUUCAAGGGAUGUGGCCUUUAUCGACUGUGGAGCGUUAAUGUAUGGUAGAAACCGUCGGCAGAUUGAGAGGAGAGGCUAUUUGGUGGGUAAACGAUACAACAAGCCCAUAAUGAAAGAUCACAUUUUUCUUCGUUAUUGGUCGCGUGAUAAAUUAUAUCCAGUUUCCUUGAAGGAUAAAUAUGGUGGCUGUGAAACCAAUAAUUUACGGACAACAGAUUGCUUAGAUCAUAAACAUGAUGGGCUUCAUGUGUUUUUCAAUGGUCAUAGCCUUAAAGUGAAGAAGUGUGGUGUUAGAAUAGUGUAUGAGAAAGAUUUGGAAGAAAUGAAAGAGUUGCAGUGCGAUACCACUCAAUCUUCUCCAAAUUUUGAGCACAUCCACCAACACUCUGCUCACAACCAUGGAACAGUAGGUAGCAGUUCUCACAUAAAACGGAAACGUAAUAUCUAUGAGGAAAUGGUGGAAGAAGAGCCGCAACCAAAACGGAUGCAAAAUUUUUUCAAUUUUAUAAUGGGCCAAUCAGGGAAGAAGCAUUAACUGUGGUAAACUACUUAACCAUCCUUCUUACAUACCAAAAACUUAUAAAUCUUUUACUUAUAUUCAACAGGAGCUCAUAUUCCGUACAUAUCACAAUUGUUGAUAACAUAGUUUAUAUAUAUCAUUUAAAAUUUUAGUCGCUUAAUUCAUUCCUUUUUAUAUAACUGAAAUGUGUAAAUUUUGAUGGUUUCAUUUUUUAUUAAAAUUGUAUUUUCAUUAUAUAUACACUUACAUCUAUAUUUUAUUUGUAGGUUGAAAUAAAUAUAAUCAACUUGAGAUAGAAAUGUUGAGAAAAAUGGAUAGUUUCCGUGACAAAACAGGUAACAAUAAGGUGAAAUCCUUUAAUAAAGGCCAGAUCAUGAUUUUCAACUGUUGUGUUUUUUGUGAUAUUAACAAAAUUUUCUUGAUUUGAGGUAAGUUAAUAUACCGGUGAUAGAGAAAGGAUUAUAUGAAACUAUGGUUCCACGUCAUUCCUAUACAUUUUCAAUAGGAGAAUGACAACUCAAAAUUUUAGUAUUUUUAGUUGAAUUUGAAUUUGUCGGGAGGAAAAAGUUGAAAAUCGGGAGGAAAAAUCUGUUUUGUUAUUCUUCUAUUAGAAGGUGAUAUGAAUGAUUUAAAAUCACAGUUUCAUAAAAUCCCUUAAAAUCCCUUCUCACCAGUGAUGUAGAUGAUCUCAAUGCAACAAAAAUAACCUUGGUGUUUUAUGUUUGUCCCCUAGGCUAAUAGAAGUAUGAAAGUUUGGUCAAAGGAUCAUGCAAGUGAGGGACCAACAAAAGUCUUCAAGCUGAAAUGAAAGCGGACACUUUAGCAAUUAUAGGCUGGGAUGAAUUUAGAGAAAUAGAUUAUGUUAUUACAUAAUUAGUUGUUUUUUUACAUGUAAUGUAAAUUAUAGUAUUUUAAAUCGACCUUUUGAAUUUGUAAUGUAAAUUCAAAUAGUAAUUUAAUUGUAAUGUAAAUAAAACCUUUUAAAUUAGGCAUAAUGACAAAAAAGGUUCUUAGUGUUUAUAAAAUUUGACAAUUUAACCCUUAUUUUUUUAAGCAAUUUAGCUCUUAACAUUUUAUUUUGAGUCAAAUUAUGGAUUUUUUAAUGCAAAAUGCUUAUUGAACUAUUAACAGUGUUGACUUGACAUGAAUAGUGAAUUCAUUCCUUUUUACAAAUUUUAGUCACUCAAUUCAUUCCUUUUUACAUAAAUGAAAUGUGUACUUUUUUUUAAUUUUAUUAUAUAUAUAUAUAUAUAUAUAUAUUAACUUACAUGUAGGUUGAAGUUAAUCUAAUCAACUUAAUACUGAAAUAUUAAAAAAAAUGGAUAUCUUUUGUGACGAAGCAGGCAAAAAUAAAAUGAAUCCUUUAAUAAGGAUUAAUCAUUAUUUCAGCUGAGUUAAAAAUCAUUUCAUUUUUAUUAGAGAUUAAUUUAUGUGUUCAAUUUAAUCAGUCAAAAUUAUUUUUAUAUAUUGGGAAGAUUAAAUAUAAGUCCUUAAUAGUACUUAAAUAGGUUUAAUUCCUUCUAAUAAAAGUAACAUUUAAAUUUCAUGGCUUGAAGUACAAAUAAUAGUAUUCCAACUCUUUUAGUUUAUAUUGUUUAUACAGUAUUUAUAUUUAAACAUUUAUUUUUAACACUGAUUCAAACAUGAAAAUAAAGUAUGCUCUUUUAAUUAAUUGGAAAAUAUUUUUUGCGUGUGAGGCUUAUUCAACCUUUUUUUUUUUUUUACUUCAAUAGAUUUAUUUUUUGUUCUUGUCUAAUUUCCCUUUUCUGUUCUUGACAGUGGUUGUGUUUUCUGUAAUAUCAACAAAACUUUCUCAAUUUGAGGUAAGUUAAUAUACCAAUGAUAAUGAUGAUAUCAAUGCAACAAAAAUAAUUUUGGUGUUUUAUGUUUGUCCCCUAGACCGGUAGAAGCAUGGCUCAAAGGAUAAUGCAAGUAAGGAAUCGACAAAAGUCAAGUUGAAAUGGAAGUCAACACUUUCGCAUUUGGAUGAAUUUAGAAAAUUACGAUUUCAAAAAAUAGAUUAUGUUAUUAUAUAAUUUGUUAUUUUUUACUUGUAAUGUAAUGUAAACUAUACUAUUUUAAAUGGGGUUUUUGAAUUUUUUGCUUGUAACAUAUAAAUUUAAUUGUAAUGUUAAUAAAACCUUUUAAAUAGGUAUAAUGACAAAAAAAUGUUCUUAGCAUUUAUAAGAUUUUAUUUUGAGUUAAACUAUAAAUUUUUUUAUUGCAAAAUGCUGAUUAAACCGUUGACGUGAUAUGAAUAGUAAACUCUUUUUAAGGUUGGUCUCAAUUGGAUCAUCUUUCACAAUAGCCUUAUUUAUGUUUAUUAUGUUUUCUCAUUUGUUUCUAAUUUAUGAUGGUCUUCAACAGCUCUUGUAUAAGUUGAAAUGCGGCUGAGAUGGGAUUGCAUGUGGGAUUCUCGAGGGUGGAGAUCGAAGGAGACUCCUUAUCUGUGAUUCGGAAGCUGCAAAUAAAGGGAGUUGAAAGGUCAGUGAUAGGAGCCUAUAUCUCAAGUAGAGGGAUAUCAAAUCUGUGUCUUUAAACAUGUGCCAAAACAAGCAAACGGAGUUGGACAUCUAUUGGCUAUAGAGGGAUUAAAGAGAGAUGAAGAAACUUAUCUUGUUGGUGCGGUUCCUUCAUACACGAAAGUGGCAGCGGAAGAGGACCGUCAACAGUUGGGCCCACUAUGUCCAGCAGGUCAAAGAUCCACUGCUUAGAAAGAAGAUAAAAUGGGAUUUUACUGUGGGCAAACAGAUCGGAGAAUAGAUGGACUACUGGGUUUCUCAGUUUCAACGGAAGAUUGGUGUUUUGAAGUGAUGAAAUGCAGAGUUUAGCCAGACCUGAAGGGUUUCUGUUGAAAAAGACAGCAGCAACUAAGCAAAAUUCAAACAGCCAAGACUAAAGCUCAUUAACAGCAAAACAAAACAAAAAGAACAAACUGAAAAUCCAAAGAGAAGCAACAAGUAACCGAAUGAGAAAGUCCUAGCUUUCAUUUCCAUUUCAAAAUAUAAAGGGGUUACAAAAAUAAUAAUAAUAAGUUAGUUACCUAAACUGUAACUGCUCUUAACAAAUUUGGCAAGUUGCCAACUAAAAUAUUACAAAAGAAAAGCUGAAAAAAUUCAGCUGUUACAUCCAUCAAUUUCAAAUCUAAAAAUAUUAGCUUUAGAUAUCAAGCAACUUGCCAACUUGUUAAUAUAAAAAAAAUACAAAAUUUAAACAAAAGAAAGUUGCUUCUAGUUCAAUCUUCAAACAGACAUGCUGCUGCUGCUCACGAUGCUGGUAGUUUGUUGCAUUGCAGACCAAUGCUCAACACUCCUCCUUGGACUGUAGGCAACAAACACCAAUCGAAUCUCGUAAGAAUUCAAACCUGAUUGUGCCAAGAGGCUUUGUCAAAAUGUCAGCCAAUUGAUCUUGUGAGCUGCAAUGUAUAAGACACACUUCUUUGGAUUGAACAACUUCUCGAACAAAGUAAAACUUGAGCUUAAAAUGUUUGGUUUUUCCAUGAAAAACAGGAUUUUUGGAGAUGGCAACUGCUGACUGAUUAUCCACCAUAAUUUCAGUAGGCUCAAGCUGUUCUUCAUUCAAAUCACAUAGCAACUUCCUAAGCCAAAUGGCUUGAUUCACUGCUGCAGCUGCUGCUAUGUAUUCUGCUUCAGCAGUAGACUAAGCAACAGUUUGUUGCUUCUUUGAACUCCAACUGAAAACUCCCGAACCAAGUGUAAAGAAGUAGCCUGAAGUACUUCUCAUAUCAUCAACUGAUCCACCCCAGUCACUAUCUGAGUAGCCAGUUAAUUUCAGCUCACUUCCUUUCUUGAACAUUACACCAAACUUCAAAGUACCUUUGACAUACCUGAGUAUUCUCUUUGCUGCUUUCAAAUGAGUUGUAUUGCAGCUAUGCAUGAAUCUAGACAGUAGACUAACUGAAUGCAUAAGGUCAGGUCUGGUUGCUGUCAAGUAUAGUAAACAACCAAUCAGGCUUCUAUACUCCUUUUCAUCUACCUUUUCUUCAUUUCCAAAGCUGCUUAGUUUCGAUCCCACAUCUAAUGGUGUGCUCACUGGUUUGCAGUUUUCCAUAUGAAACUUAGUGAGAAUUUUCAAGGCAAAUGCAUGCUGGCUAAUAAAAAUGCCUUGAUCAGACUGGUCUACUUCCAUACCAAGGAAGUAAGUCAUGAUUCUCAAGUUUGUCAUGUCAAACAUGUCUUGCAUAUUCUUCUUGAACUCCUGAAUCAAAUUGACCCUGCUUCCAGUCACAAAUAGAUCAUCCACAUAUAUUGAGACAAUCAGCAAAGUCUCAUCUUUGGACUUCUUUAUAAACAAAGUUGGCUCACUCAAACUUUUCUCGAAAUUGAGCCUAGACAGGUAAGCAUCUAUCUUGUCAUACCAGACUCGAGGAGCCUGUUUUAGUCCAUAGAGUGCCUUCUUCAGCUUGUAAACCUUGUCCUCCUUUCCUUGGACUUUAAAUCCAUCAGGCUGUUCAACAUAAAUUUCUUCUUUAAGAAAACCAUUCAGGAAAGCUGACUUGACAUCAAGUUGAUGGACCCUCCACUGCUUUUGUGCUGCGAAGGCAAACAGAAGCUUUAUGGUAUCCAGCCUUGCCACUGGAGCAAAUGUCUCCUCAAAAUCAAUGUCAAACUGUUGAUUGUACCCUUUCACCACAAGCCUUGCCUUGUGUUUGUUCAAAGAGCCAUCAGCAUUGAAUUUGGCCCUGAAAACCCAUUUGACACCUAUGACCUUCUUCUGAUCAGGUCUGUCUACCAGAUCCCAAGUGUCAUUUUUGUGGAUCAUGUCAAUUUCAACCUCCAUAGCCUUCUUCCAGCUCUUGCUUCUUGCAGCUUCUUCAUAGCUUGAAGGCUCAACAAUGGCCACAUUGCAUCUUUGGUAGAUAUCAGCAAUAGACCUGGUCCCCCUCACAGGAGCAUCAUCUACAUUGGCAUUACUGACUUCAUUUUCUGCCAAUUCCAGAUUGCUGUCAAUCUGCUCUUCUUCAAACUAACUUGUGUUAGAGCCAUCUAGACUCCAAAACCUUCCUUCAUCAAAUUUGACAUCCCUGCUUACCAAAAUCUUCUUGGUUGAAGGAUCAAAUACUCUGUAGCCCUUCUUGCAGCUACUGUAGCCAACAAAUAUACCAGGAACUGACCUCUUCUCGAGCUUGGUUCUUCUUUCUGCAGGGACAAGUACAAAACACAUGCAACCAAACACUUUUAAAUGGGAAACAGUUGGUUUGAGAUCAUACCAUGCUUCAAAAGGAGUUUUAUCAUUCACAGCAUGUGUUGGUAGCCUAUUGAGCAGGUACACUGAGGUGUUGACACCUUCAGCCCAAAAAAUUCUUGGAAGCUUGCUUUGAAACAACAAACACCUGGUCAUGUUCAUCACUGUUCUGUUCUUCCUUUCACAUACUCCAUUUUGUUGAGGAGUAUACACUGAGGUCAAUUGAUGAUGAAUCCCAGCCUGCUCACAUAGCUUCUGAAAUAUUUCAGACAAGUAUUCAGAACCAUUGUCUGUCCUCAAGGCCUUAAUCCUGCAGCCUGUUUGAUUUUCUGCCAAUGUCUUGAACUUUCCAAAAACUUCAAACACUUCUGACUUCUGUUUCAUGAAAUAAACCCAGCAAAAUCUGGUCAGAUCAUCAAUAAACAGUAUAAAAUACUUACUGCCAUUCAGUGAAGGCGUCUUCAUUGGUCCACAGACAUCUGAGUGCACCAACUCAAGUCUUUCUUGAGCCCUCCAUGCUUGGUUUACUGGAAAAGGCAACCUGGCCUGCUUACCAAGCUGGCACACUUCACAAACAGACUCAUUUGCAUCAACCUUAAUCAUGUCCUCUGUCAAACUUAUAUUGUGUAGCAAAUUGAGUGACCUGAAAUUGACAUGGCCAAAUCUUCUAUGCCACAUAUCAGCAUUGUCAACUGAACUUGUAUAGGCUCUUCUCUCAAGUUGGCUCACAUCCAGCAUGAAACACCUAUCUGCCAUUGGUGCUGAAACAACUUCUCUACCAAGAACAUCAUUAAUAACACAAGAAUCAUUCUUGAAAACUAGAGAGUAGCCUUUCUUAACCAGCUGACCUACACUAAGUAGAUUUUGAUCUAUUUCAGGUACAUAGAGCACAUCUGUAAUAACCUUUUUACCUGAACCAGUGUUGAUCACAACAUCACCUCUGCCUUUAGCUUCAAUCAGAUUCUCAUUGCCUAUCCUGACCUUUGAAGUAAAACUCCUGUUAAGGUCCUUGAAUAGGCUCUCAUCUGAUGCCAUGUGAUGUGAGCAGCCACUAUCCACAAGCCAACUGCAUUUGGAUUUGCUUGUGGUUGCAGAACAUGAGGCAGUGAAGACAUGCUCCUCCUGAGCUUGAAGAUCUUCAGCAGUCUUGGCUUGUACUGGCAGAGUUUGUGCCUUUUCUUGAUUUCUACAAAUCUUUUCAUGGUGACCAUACUGCUUGCAACUCUUGCAUUGGAUGUUUGGUCUGUUCCAGCAAUACUUCUCUAAAUGAUUAGUCUUCUUGCAGUGAACACAUGGUGGAAACCUCCUUCUACCAGCAUCUUUCUUUGAUCUUUCCCUCUUUUCAAACCAAGGCUUCUUAGCUUUCUGACUUGAGCUGGAGCCUUCUCUGACCUUUGCUUGAAAAACACCUUCAGGACUCUCCUCCUGCCUACUUGCUCUUCUCUGCUCAAGUGCAUAGAGUGAGUUAGCCAACUCAGACAAAGAAAUGAUUGUGAGAUCUCUCGAGUCCUCUAAUGAGCAGAUUUUUGACUCAAACCUUUCAGGUAAGGUGGUAAUAACCUUCUCAACAACCCUGCUGUCACUGAAAUCUUCUCCAAGGAGUCUGAUAUUAUUGACAGUAGCCAUAAUUCUAUCAGAAUAUUGCUUGAUAGUUUCUGACUCCUUCAUCUUCAAAUUUUCAAACUCCCUUCUAAGAUUUGUAGCGACCUAAAAAUUUGGGGUACGGGCGCUAGUCGAAAUAAUUAUUGAAAAUUUAAAAACAGCGUCUCGAUUUUAUUUGCAAAAGGAGUUGCCACUGAUCUUUUUUUAGGUGUGAUCGGACACCUAAUAAAUUCUAUUUUUAGAAGAAAAAUUUAUUUUUAAAUUUUCCUAAAAAAGAGGUAAUUUUAGGUCUGCGUGAAAAUCCAGAUAAAAUUAAGGUUCGGGAGUCGGUUACGCGCGAGGAAGGUAUUAGCACCCUCGCGACACCCAAAAUUGGUAUCUCGUUAAACGCACGUCGUCUUAAUUUUCAAAAAUACGAGUUCAAUUUAAUAUUUACUCGUGAUCCAAUUGAAACAUGAGAAUUUUUUUAAAACACGAGAAUUUUGCAGCACCAAUUUUUAAAAAAAACGAAAAUUUUUGAAACAUGAGAAAUUUUUUUAAAAACACAAAAAUUUUUGAAACACGAAAAUUUUAAAAAACACGAAAAUUUUUAAAACACAGCAAUUUUUGAAACACGAUAAUUUUUCAAAACACAAAUUUUUUUAAAGAACAUGACAAUUUGUGAAACACUAGAGUCAUUGAAAACACGGAAAUUUGUGAAAAAACAAAAAUUUAUGAAACACAGAAAUUUAAAAAAAAACACAGAUUUUUGAAACACCGAAAUUUUUGAAAACACGAAGAUUUUUGAAACACGAAAAUUUUUGAAAAUACGAAUUUUUUUUAAAUACAGAAAUUUUUAAACACGGGGAUUUUUGAAACAUGGAAUUUUUUUAAACGUGAAAAUUUUUGAAACACAAUUUUUUUUAAGAAGUGCCGUAUUUAACACGAAUCAAUAAUAUUCAUCCCUACAUGGCGAUGAAAUCAUCGAAUUAGUGCCAAAUCGAUUCAACUUAAUAUUUAAUCGUGAUUUUAUUAAAACACGAGAAUUUUAAAAAAACAUGAGAAUUUUAGAAUAUUUUCGAUUUUUUUUAAAAGGGCGUAUCGUGUUUAACACAAACCGAUGGUAUUCACCCAACAUAGCGAUGAAAUCAACAAUUGAAUGUUAAAUCGAUUCGUUGCCUUAUUUAUUAAAAUUACUUAAAAUAAAAUAAAAUUGAAAUUGAAUUAAAUUAAAAAUAUAAAUGCAAAAAUAUAAAAAUGCAUAAAAGUACAAAUAAUACUAAAACGGAAUAGCAUAAAAAUACGGGUAUUAAAUUAAAAGUGAAAUAAACGAAAUUACCAGAAAUAUCCAAAACACGAGCUUAGUCGAACGGGUUACCAAAUUGAACCCUUUUCUUUUUUUCUUUUUUCUUUUUCUUUUUUUCUUCCUUUUUUUUCUGCUGCUGGGCCGGCCUGUUGGACUGCUGGGCAAACUGGGCCUGGCGCUGUGGGCCUUCUGGGCUGGUCUGGUGCUGCCUAGAUGCCUGCUGGGCCUUUGCUGGAAAUGGGCUGCUGUUGGCCUGCUAACAAAAAUGGCCUGCUGUGUUUUUUUUUGCUGUUUGCUGUUUUUUUAGGGGCUGCUCUUUUUUUGGGCUGCUGGGCUGCUGUUUUUUAUUUGGGCUUCUCGGAUGAUGCGGGUCGGGCCUGGUGCGGGUCGGGUCGGGUCGACNNNNNNNNNNNNNNNNNNNNNNNNNNNNNNNNNNNNNNNNNNNNNNNNNNNNNNNNNNNNNNNNNNNNNNNNNNNNNNNNNNNNNNCUUUUUUCUUUCUUCUUCGGGUCACCCCUAGCCCCCACGCCGUCGCCGACCCCCCCUCCGUCCGGUGUUGCGGUGGCCGACGCGACUCCCUUCUCCUCUCUUCCUCCCUUUCUUUUCUCUUCUCUUUUCUUCCUUUUUCCUUUGGGUUGCUGUUUUUUUUUGCUUAUUGCUUUUUAUUUUCUCUUUGCUUGUGUUGUAGGUGUUGGGACGGUAGUGGCGGUGCUGUCGUGGUGGUGGGGACGGUGGCGCGCGGUGGAGCUGCUGUUUUCCUUGUGUUUUGCUGCCUUUUUUUUCAUUUUUUCUCUGCUGUUUUUUUGGUUUUUUUGGCUGCCGAAAAAAUCCCCCCAUUUCUCUCCAAUUUCCUCCUUUUUAAUCCCCUAAUUUUGUCAUCUUCUUCUUGUUUGCAGGUGGCAGAGGAGGGCAUCAUGGCCUAGGGAGGCUGCUGGAGUAGCUCGGCUGGGGAAGGGUACGUUCGGCUGCUGAUUGCAGCGAUUUGACAAGUCCAGAAGGACUAAAUUGCAUGGGAUGCAAAGCUUCUGCGGUAAAAGUGUAAUUUUAGCAAAAAUAUGGGCCAAAAUGUAAUUUCUUGAGAGUUUAGGGGUCAAAGUGAAAUUUUUAGAAAGUCUAAAGGUCGAAAUGUAAUUUUAGAAAGUUUUGGGGUUAAAAUGUAAAUUUUGGAAAAGUUUGGGGUCAAAAUGUAAAUUUUGAAAAGUACAGGGGUUAAAAUAUAAAAAAAACUUUUUUUGAAACACGAAAUUAAUCCCGGACAAAAUUCAGUGAUUACAAGAUUAAUUACUUGUUGCUGCCUUGUCUUGUUUGAUCCCAUGAACUCCUCUUUCAGCCUAUCUCAUGCUUGUUUGGGUGAGUCACAGGCCAUGAUGCGAGUAAAAAUCAUAUCAGACACUCCAUUCUGUAGGCAGGCCAUGGCUUUAUGCUUCUUGGCUCGCUCCUCACCAUGUUGCCUGAUCUGAGCAAUGGUUGGAUUUGCUCUCAAUAGUGGUGGCUCGACAUCAUUUUCAACUGCACUCCACAGAUCAAGUGCUUGGAGGUAAGUUUUCAUUUUAACUACCCAAAUGUGGUAGUUUUCUCCAGCAAAAACUGGUGGUGGAGGAGGUGCAAAGCUCAUGUUGUUGGAACUGGUUUGACAAACACGAUUUUUGAGUUUAUUUUGAAACAAAAAAAUUUAAACAACAGAGGUCCUCAAAGACAAGAGGCUCUGAGAAAAAGACAGCAGCAACUAAGCAAAAUUCAAACAGCCAAGACUAAAGCUCAUUAACAGCAAAACAAAACAAAAAGAACAAACUGAAAAUCCAAAGAGAAGCAGCGAGUAACCGAAUGAGAAAGUCCUAGCUUUCAUUUCCAUUUCAAAAUAUAAAGGGAUUACAAAAAUAAUAAUAAUAAGUUAGUUACCUAAACUGUAACUGCUCCUACCAAAUUUGGUAAGUUGCCAACUAAAAUAUUACAAAAGAAAAGCUGAAAAAAUUCAACUGUUACAUCCAUCAAUUUCAAAUCUAAAAAUACUAGUUUUAGAUAUCAAGCAACUUGCCAACUUGUUAAUAUCAAAAAAAUACAAAAUUUAAACAAAAGAAAGUUGCUUCUGGUUCAAUCUUCAAACAGACAUGCUGCUGCUGCUCACGAUGCUGGUAGUUUGUUGCAUUGCAGACCAAUGCUCAACAGUUUCUUCCACUUGCAUCGGAAAGAUCUAGCAGACAUUUUGGUGGUUAUCAACAAAACAGAGAAGGCAUCUGAAGGGUUUCGCUUUCUCAGAUGUCUAGGGAAAAGGAAAGUCUGCCUGGGUGUUUGGAUUAUCCUGCUUUUAUUUAACGUUUGUUUAUUGCAUAUUUUCUGUUUUGUCUAGGCUCUAAAUGAUUUGGAAUUUGUUUUAUUAAUAUAAUCCAGCCAUUCAUAUUUCAAAAAAUAAAAAUAAUAAUGGGUCCAAACCUGAUCAAUUCACUAGACUACACACAAACAUCAAAUCUUGAACUUCUGAUUUUUGAAAGGUUGUACCAAAUUAGUGGAUGUUCAUCCAUCAAUUAGAGUGCUUAGGAACCUUAAACUUUUGAAUUUAAGAGAUUGUAAAAGUCUCAAGAGUCUUCCGACUGAAAUUGGAAUGGAAUCUCUAGAAACAUUAAUUCUUUCGGGUUGCUCAGGUCUUGUAAGGUUUCCGGAGAUUGAUGGGAAAAUGGAACGUCUAAAAACUCUAGAUCUUUCUGGUUGUUAUAGAGUGGAAAAUUGAUCGGAGAAUUUGCAGCAAGCAAAGUUUUUGGAGCUCGACUUGAGUGAAACAGCCAUAGCAGAACCACCAUCCUUUAUUUUUCAAUUUAAAAAUCUUAAAGUUCUUUCUUUCAAUGGGCGCAAGGGACCAUCAUAUAAGUUACUACCAAAUUUGCCUUCUCUUUUCAAGGUAAUCCAAGGAAGAAGGACGAAUCCCAUGGCUCAGAUGUUGCCUUUGUUGUCAGGUUUGAGUUCUUUAAGAGAGCUAAAACUAAGGGACUGCAAUCUUUGUGAAGGAGAUCUUCCACGUGAUAUUUAUGGUCUAUCCUCUUUGUGGCCUCUUGAUCUUAGUGGUAACAAUUUCAUCAGCAUACUUGCAUCUCUUACUCGACUCUCGAAGCUCGGAAAUCUUAUAUUGUCAAAUUGCAACAUGUGCACUCUUGGUGAAGCAGAUAUUCAUGGUGAUAUUUCUGGUAUAUCCUCUUUGAUACGUUUUGAUCUUAGUGGUAAGAAUUUCAUCACCAUUCCUUUGGCUCUUACUCAACUUUCCAGGCUCAAAUUGCUUAAAUUGUCAGGUUGCAAGAUGCUUAAAUCGUUGCCUGAGCUACCAACAAGUAUAGCAGCUGUGCAUAUAGAUGGUUGUUCUUGACUUGAAGUAGUUGCAAGUCCAUCAAAAGUAUGCAAUUUAGUGGGCUGUGAUGACAUUAGUGCCAUUAACUGCUUCAAAUUGGCUGAGAAAAUCAAUGCAUUAACUCAAAGUUGGGAAUUCCGGUAAUUGCAAAAAUGGAAGUGGUGGAAAAAGAGAAAACACUACCAUCUGUGGAGUUCUUGAAUUGGAUUGGAUUCUUGUAGAAGAUGUGACCUUUUGUAUGGGUUGUAAAAUUAGUCAGUUUAAAGAGCCCACUUGAACCUACGCCCGCAAGUUCGCCAACAUUCAAGUAACCAUUGAAACUGAAGUACUGACCCUGAUUGAUAUCUGAAGAUGCAGGAGGAAAAGCAACACACGCAUGAUCAAACACACAAAAAAAUAUAUACAAUAGACAUUUAGAUAACCAAUCAGUUAGGUAAUGAGCAGCCUUGAUUUCAUAAUCAUCAAACCCAACAUUUAGAUCAUACAAAGAGAGAAAUUUUAUAAGGGUACAGUAGAACCUGUCUUUUGUUGACUGAGCUGCAGUGAAAAUGCAUUCGCAAGAACGAUCUUUUCGAUUCUAAGGAGCUCAUAGAGAAGUAUUCCACGAAUAUAUUUGAUUUUCAACCUGGAAAAAAAAAUAAUUACUACUAUAAUUAUAAUUGACAGCAAUAAAUGCACGUACACUUUUUCAACAAAUCAUAAGGCAUGGUACGAGGUAAACUCCAAUUUGAAUUCACAUCCCUUAGAACCCCUUCAAUCACCGUGACACCAAUAUUAAUGUCGGUUGUCUCAUUCGAAUUAAGCUGAACCCAACCUUCCUUGGGAUGUCACCAUUGCUUUGCAGCUCUGGAGAUCAUUGUAACAAAAAUAUUAGAAGACCCUAUGUGAGUUGAACUUUUAGCCCAAGAUAGACUAGACAUAACAACUUCCCCAUUGCUGUUACUUGCAUCUUUAAACACAAAAGCAUUACGACACUUCCAAAGACAUCAACAAAUAAUAGGAAACAAAGUCGACCAGUCUAUUCCCUCAACAUCAAUCUGCCCAAUAUUCUUUAAUUUCCAAAUAAGUUAAUCCUUAAUAUGCAAAAACCUGCUAAGAUCAUCUGGAACAAGAUUAUUCCAAACAUUAAUCUUAGCAAAAGAAAAAUCCCUCAAAACUUGUAUGGUUGCCUCAGCCUGCUCACAUCUUGAGUAACUAGUGUCAGCUGUCACAUGUCAUCAAGCUCUCUCCUCAUUCGCUAACAAAUGUCCCUUAAAAUGAAUUCAAAGAAAAUGUCUUAUUCAUUGAAGACCUUUGCAUUUCCUGACCAUAUUCCAAUCCUCACUUGCCACAUCCCAUUCAUCUCUUGCAACUGAUCUGUAAGUUGUUGCCUCUCAGGAUGUUGGAGUUCGACAAGGACCCAUUGAGGUUCGACCAGAACCUAGGUAUACCCCCACCUUAUAAAACAAUGACAAUCCUUGUAUGUAAUUGUAGAGUGGUGAAGCAUGAUGUACUGUAAUUUGAAAUGUUAAAUUAGGCUUUCCUGUAACAAGCUUGUUCUCAAGUAGUUUAAGAGUAUUUUUAUGUUUUUUUAUCGAUUUUUAACUUUUAGUUUCAAUGCUAACUUUUAUCACAUUUUAUCACUUUUGAAACCCAAAUUGAUAAAACUAUGUCAUUAGAGGUCUAAUGAUUAAUUUGAGCUUGUAUAAGGAGGUGAUUGAGGCUAAACAUCAAGGAGGAAUUCAACUGUUGCGGAGGACGCAACACAAGUGAUUCACAGAGUUUAGAAUUUGAUUUAAAAGAAUUUGGAUGCGUAGAAGAGUAUACGGAAAAAGACAAAUGAAUCAUAUAAUUUUGUUGUUACAGAUUUAAGGCAUGUUCUAAAAACUCUAAAAUUUUUAUUCAAAGUUUUAUAAUGUAGUGAUUAAACAAAGCAUGGAUUAAUUGUAUUUUAAUUAAAUUGUUUUUAAAAAUUAAAUUGUUUUUUAGAUCCUAAUGGAAUUUUUAUUUUUUAUAUUGAAGUCCUUACUAUGUAGAUUUCAAUUGAUUCAAUCUGUUCCUUAAUUUAACAUUCCAAAAUGAAUAGUCGUAUGAAUUUUUAUUUUUCAUAGCUCUACACUAAAGUUUUAAAAAUUUUGCCUUAUAUUAUCACUAAUAGUCGUAGCAAUUUAAAGAAAAUGAAUAUUUUUUAAAAUUUUCCCUAAUAUUAAUUAUAAAAACUAUAAAAAAUAAAAUAAUACAUUUUAAUUAAUACAAACAAUCAACCCGAGCAUCACAUGUAUAAAGAAAACAAGAUGCAUAAUAAAACAUUUAAUUUACCACUCAACUAAAGUUUUAUCUUGAUAACUCUAAACAUUUUAAUUUUAUUAUACACACCUACCUCCAUCAAUUGUAUAUAUCUAUAUAUUAUAAUUUAAGCUCCUGAUUGAGUUGAGCAACAAUUUAGCUAAAAAAAUUAUAAAAAUAUCAUUCUGUAAUUAAAUAAGUUAUCGAGAAUAUUUUAAUCUUUUUAUUUAAAAAUAAUAAAAAUAUGCAUAAAAUAAUUUUUUAAAGUGAGCUUCCUUUCCAAAAUAUAAAUGAGACCUAUCAGUUAUUAUUAUGUAAAUAACACUAUAUUUGAAUUCAUUAUUUAAAUAUCAAUAAUUGAUAUUUAAAUAAUGAUUAAUAUACAAUAUUCGUCAUUGUUGACGUUAAACACCAAUAGUACAUGUAAUUAAGAAAUUAACAUAUGAAGGACUUCGGACAACCAUGCUUUAUAUUGUAAUAAAAAUAGAAAGGUUAUGCAUGUGACCACCUUUCUAUUUAAAUUGGAGCGAAACUUUUGAUGAGCUGUUCAUAUCAGAAUUAAAUAUGUCAAAAUAAUCCAAUAAGGUUAAAUAAAAAUUAAAUCUUUUUGAAUACCGUAUAUAAAAUUAUAUUUUUAUCAAUUAAAUUUUAAUUUUUAAAUAAAAUCUUUAAAUAUUAUUAUGCCACGUAUUCAAAUAUAAUAAAAAUUUAUUAAUAAUGUAAAUUGAGUUAAGAGAUAAAAGAAUAUAGAGAUUGUGCUGGAAAUGAAAACCCAAAUUACAUAAUGAGAAGGAAAGAUGGAACUAUCAAAUUCCUUAUUAUUUAUAGGAAAUUAGGGAGAAUAAGGAAAAGAAAUUGAUUCAUGAAGAGAUAAGGAGAUUGGCGUGGCAUUGGUGACUUACAUGCAUGUCCCUAUUGCCUAUUCAACAUUAGAUUCCUUUAGCUACUAUUCUCCUAAUGCAAACAAUGAAGUCCCCAGCGAUAACAGACAAUUCUACAUCAAUGCAUGCGCCCGUUUUCUUCCCCUUCGCCUAAUUUCCCCUUCCAAUUUCCAUCGCAUGCAUGCUCUUUCAUUUUAUCUUCAAACUUCUUAUCUCCUUAUCUCUUCAUGAAUCAAACUUUUUAUUAUAUUUGAAUACGUGGCAUUAUAAUAUUUAAAGAUUUUAUUUGAAAAUUAAAAUUUAAUUGAUAAAAACAUAAUUUUAUAUAGGGUAUUUAAAAAGAUUUAAUUUUUAUUUAACCUUAUUUGAUUAUUUUGACAUAUUUAAUUCUGAUAUGAACAACUCAUCAAAAAUUUCGCUCUAAUUUAAAUAUUUAUCUAAAGAUUAUUUACAAUAUAAAACAUACAUCAACUACUUUUUUAUUCGAUUAAGCUUUUUAAUUUGUUAUGCAUGUGACCACCUUUCUAUUUUUAUUACAAUAUAAAACAUUAUAAAAAUCUUAAAAUAAAAAGGAAAAACCCUAUUAUACAAAACCCUAUUACUCGAUUCGGAAGGCUUUAAAAUAUAUUCCUAAAUGACAUUGGCAUGAACAGCCACAGUAUGCUACUUAUGAUGCUUAAAUAUAUAUACAAAACCCUAUUACUCGAUUCGGAAGGCUUUAAAAUUUUAUUUAAUUUUACAAUCAUAAUUUUUAAAGAAAAACCCGAUACUUUUCCACUUCACCUACCGCGAGAAACAAAUGUUUCUGUAAUUGUUAUUGAAGGAACGGUGUUUCUCUCGGCUGUCAACUCAUUAGGAGCGCCCACUUCAUUUGAUACUGCUGGGAAUUCUCGAACUUUGAUAACAGAGCUGAUGUCAUCGGGCAAUGAAGCAACACCGUCCAAAUACGAUAUAACGCUGGACAUGCUAGGCCUAGCCGCUGUCACCGGGUGUGAGCAAAGCAACCCAAGCUUCAACACCAACUCCGCUUGUUGUCCCACAAAUGAUCUCUUCCCCAACCUCUUAUCAAUAGUCGCCAAAAUGUCUCCUUUAUCCCAGCAAUCCUUUAUCCAGUCAGCAAGAAAUGCUUCCUCUGGUGCCGUUUGUGGUUCGAUCGGCUUUCUACCACAGGCAACUUCAAGCAUGAAUAUUCCAAAAGCAUAUAUAUCAGUGCUUGUGUUUGCUUGCCCGGUUCUUGCGAGCUCAGGAGCCAUGUAACCGAGCGUGCCUGCUACAUGAGAGGUUUGAGGAUCAUUUCCAAGGUCGCAUAGCUUUGCCAUCCCGAAAUCUCCUAGUCGGGCGUUCAUUUCACUGUCUAUCAGCACAUUGGCAGGCUUGAUAUCUCUGUGAAUGAUGACUUGCACCCAUUGCUGGUGCAGAUACAACAACGCGGAAGCUACGUCCUUGAUGAUCUUAAACCUUUGUGUCCAAUUAAGGCUGCUAUUAGGUUGGUAGUAAAGAAACUUGUCAAGGCUUCCAUUAGGCAUGUAGUCAUAAACCAAAAGCAACUCGUGCUUGCGCUUGCAAUAACCGAGAAGUCGAACCAAAUUCGGAUGCCUGAGGUGACCGAUGGUUGCAAUCUCAGCCACGAAUUCUCUCAUACCUUGCCUUGAAUCAUGAGAGAUCCUUUUAACGGCAAUUUGUAUGUUGGAAGAGGGUAAAACACCCUUAUGCACCUUACCAAAUCCACCUCUCCCUAGAACUUCCUUUUCUUUAAACCCCUUUGUUGCUUUGAAUAGAUCUUUAUAUGAGAAUCUAUGAGGCCGUACUGAACCUCCCAAUCCUCGAGAAUCUCCAUGAAUCUCUUCUUCCUUGAGAUCAACACAAACCCGAAAAUCAAUACGAGGACUAAAGUGAGACCUGUGAAAGAAAGGGUGAUAGCCAAAAUCUUCUUUAAUUGCUUGAUUCCUCCGUUAUCAUGUCGUGGAAUCUUUGGAAGGCGAGACAAGUCUAGCUCAUCAGGUGAGCCAUUCAUCUUGAAACUCCAAGCCAAUAUGUAGUGUGAGGAUGAAGUAGCUGAAACAGAACCGGUGGACGACGAGAAGCCGACAUACAUAGAGUCAUACAUAUAAGGAGACAGAUCCUUUUUGUAGGAUAUAAGUGGGGUUUUUGGCCUUGGUAGAUUGAUGGGAUACAACGUAACAUUGAGUCGCUUCUCAACCCCGUUGUAUUCUAUCCAUAUUUGCAUUGGGUCUCCGCUUACAAGGCUGACAUUGAUGAACUCACCUUCAUCAGUGUAAUACCCCGCAGAAGCAGAUUUCACCGAGUUUACGCUAUUGAUAUCGAUGCCAACAUGGUUGUCAUCACUGUCAUUGAGGUCAAAGCUUUGAACUGUAUCCAGCUCAACCGCAACAAUAUGAUUUGAGCUGUCACCGUUAUUUGUUUCAUUGAAAAGACCAAGAUACUGGACGGCAGAAGCUGCGGGAAUUUCAUUGUUUGGCGAGAUUACAAAGGCCAUUCCAUGGCCGCCGUAUUCCGGUCUAAUUGCAAAAAUGAAUGUGGUAGAAAAGGAGAAAACACUACCAUUUUUGGAGUUCUUGAAUUGGAUUGGAUUCUCGUAGAAUUUGUGACCUUUUAUUAGGCUUGUAGAGUUAGUCAGUUGAAGCAGCCCAUAGCAACUAAACUGACCCUGGUUGAUAUCUGACGAUGCAAGGUUCAGAAGGAAAAGCAGGAGCACAAGCAUGAUCAAACAAGACAUUAUUACACACAAAAUUACAGCAAUAGUGAUUAAGGGCUGUAGUAAGUUUUGUUGUGUAAGCAAGUUAUUCUGCACCAUCAGUCCAAUAUAAAUAAAAAGAAACCAAAACACCAUUGUCUUAAUCGAUUUGAUUAAGACCUCAAAGAAAUUUCCGGAAUUUUACCUGUCAGUAGUAAGGAAAUUGCUCUCCUUUAAAGACGAUAAGAUGAGAUUAUUUGGUAAAGGUGAUGAUAUCUUCUGAUAAUGAAACACUUGACAAUUCUUUACCUCUAAUAUAUGUAUUUAAAAAAUUAAUGAUUAUAAUUCUUGCUUUCCUUUCCUUUCAAUAAAAAACUUGAAACGCAAUGAAAUUUACCAUUUCAGUAAAAAAAAUCAUUUAAUUCUUGCUUUCCUUCACCCUAUUUAGAUAAUUAACUGUUUUUCUACAAUUUUAGUUAAAACAAUAAAAAAUUACUUACAAACAAUGUUUAAGAUACUAAGCGUGCAAAGAAUUUGUCAUAUAUGAUAGUAACAUAUUUGACUUUUACUUGCAAACCAUUACACUAGUAUUUAGUAAACACACUGUCAAUCAUGAGCCCAGGAUUUCCACACUUAUAUUAAUUUAUUAAUUGAUAAUUCUGUAAUUUCAUUUAAUUUAAACCAUAAUUACUAAAAGGUGAUUAAAAAUAUACUGGCUUGUAUAUCAGAUCAUAAUAUAAAAACUUAAAUGAAUCUCAAGACUAUUUACACUCAAUCACUUCAUUAUUGUACACAUUACUAAUUAACAUUACCUCCUUUUAAUUAAAUUCUGACCAAACUAUUUCACCCAAUUACUUGCAUUUGAUUUAACGUAACGUCGUGGAACCAAAUUCAACUCAUAAUUGAAAAGGGUAUUGAUCAAGAAUCAAUUUUAAGGUGAAAGUAUUGACCUCAAUAUUACUAGUAAAAAAAUUAACACAUGUAAUAAUUGGAUCAACAUUGUUAAAUAAUUAUAUAUCGCCUUAAAAUUAUACACUAAAUUGGAGUAUUGUUAUUUAAAAAUAAAUUUAAAAUACUCAAAAAAAAUAAUGUUGGCCAUAAAUCCAUUUAAAAAUUUAACAGUCAAAUAGACAAAAUAUUUCGCUUCAUAACUUGUAUCUUAAUUAACUUGUCACGUCCGGUUAACAUUAUUAAAUCAAAGAAAUACAAGGAUUUAUUAACAUAAAUUAUAAGGUUAAAUUAAAGUUUAAAGGUUCACUUAAAAUAUGAAAGGGAUUAGAUAAUACCAUAAGGCUCCAAAAUGAGUUUGCAAAUAUUAGAACCAUUUAAAAUAUGGACCAAGUUUGAACUCCAAUAUUUAAAGUCAAAGCUUAGCUCAACCCGCAUUAUACUUUUUGUAAUAUAUUUUUAUUUUAAUUUUCACAUAUUAUGCAAUUUAUAUCACAUAAAAUAGAAUAUAUAGUAAUAUAAAUACUAUGUAAAUAUUAAAAAUAUAUAUUAAAUUGUUUAUAUUUUAAUUUUAAUAAAAAACUAAAAUAUUAAUUUAAUUUAAAACAUUUUAAUAUAUAUAUACACACUAAUCUAAACGAAUUUAAAUUAAUUAGUUACAAAUAUAAAUAAAUUUAGAUAAAACUAUAGUUCUAUAUUUAAGUCAAAUUGAGGUACGGCGGACAAAAUAUAUUAAUAUUAUGUAUAAAUUUCAUCUGAACCAAUUUCACUAGGUCUAUAAGCACUAAAUUGAAUAAAUAUUAUUCCAAAAAGGUUAUUUAAUAAUUACUGGGCUUCUAGUUACUGAAAAGCGAGUUCAAUAGUAGGUAAUGGUAUUUCUAUUUCACUUUGGAAGUAGAUUUUUAUAAAAAUAAUCUUAAAAAUUAAUUAAUUAUAAAAAUGAGUUAGGAAAACAAAUAUAUACGAAUAUGAGUUAUAGUAUUUCUCAGUACAACUUGACACACCAAUGAAACUACUCGCAUUUUUCCCCUAAUCAUCAGUGUUUAAAAAAAAGAUUUUUUUUUUGUGUCAACAUUGUGUCAGGCAAUAUCGUAUAUAUUUUUUAAAAUAUUAGUGAAAAAUAUGAGUAUUCACAAUGAAGAAAAAAUACUUUUAUAAUGUAUGUCACCGUUAAUUAGACAGUACCAGUUAAAACUUUUUUUAAAAGAUCUAUAUUUUCAAAUAUGCACAAAAAAAAAAGAGAAAUAUUUUUUUAUUGAUGUUGGACAUCAUCUUAAUUUUAAAAAGUUGACAAAAUAAAUAAAAAAAUCUGCUAUAAAAAGAAAAUUUUAUUGUCUUGUCCAAGAGAAUGGUUCCAAAGCAUGCCUAGUUGCUUAGUUCUAACGGUUAUUUUACUCAAAUGACCCUAAAAAAUAAUUAUUUACGUAAAUGAUUUUAAUUAAAAAAUAAUCAUUUAAAUGACUUAAAAUAAAUAGUAAAAUUGGGUUAGGGGUAAUAAAUUGUCGAGAUCACCUAUUUUUAUGACACAAUCAUUACCGAAUGAUUGUGUCAAGUGUUAAAAAAGAUUUAAAUACUGAAGACUAGAUGAUUGACACCCUUAUAUUUUUUUCAUUUCGCAUCAUACUGGUAUACGUUUAUACCAAUAUUUAAAAAAAGAAUUAUUUUUUUAAAUAUUGGCACACUGAUGGUCGGCACACCUCUUUAUCAGAUUAAAAAAAUAUUUUUAUUGAGUGUUGGCACAUUGAUGACCAGCAUCCCAUUUAUCUGAUUAAAAAGAAAUUUAUGUUUAUCCCUAGACCAAUAGAAGCAUGAAAGUCUACUCAAAGGAUCAUGCAAGUGAGGGACCAACAAAAGUCAUCAAGUUGAAAUGGAAGGGGACGCUUUAGCAAUUAUAGGCUCGGAUGAAUUUAGGGAAUUAGGAUUUUGAGAAAGAAAUUAUGUUAUUAUAUAAUUAGUUGUUUUUUACAUGUAACAUAAAUUAGGCAAGGUUCUUAGCGUUUAUAAAAUUUGACAAUUUAAUCCUUAUUUUCUUUACAGUGAGAAUGUUAUAACCUUAAAAAAAAUCUGAAAUAUUGAGAUUCAAAUAAUUGAUAGGUUUAAAUGUUUUUAAAGACGAUUGGACGAAAUAAUUAGAUCUCAAAUUAUAUUUCGAAUUGAAAUUGUUCAUUUAAUACAUAAUAAUAGAAUGAAUUGUAAUUAAAGUAUUCCUCUACUAGGAAUGUAUAAAAGUCUAUUCAAGCCAAUUUAUGUGUCCGAAACUGAUGUACUCCCUUUAUAAGGUGUUCAAGCCAACGUAAGUGUUAAAUAUAGGUACUUAGGGAAAAUGGAUAGAGGUGAUCAUGGCCGGGCCAGGCCCAGAUAAAAUUUUAGGCCAAUUUUCUAGGCCCAACCCAAAAUAUGAGCCUAAAAAUUUGUCCAAGCCCUGCCUAAAAGAAAAUUAUUAAGCCCGAGCCCAGCCCGGCCCAUAUUAAAUUUUACAACACCAAAAUAGCAUCAAAAACCUGAAAAAUAUAAUCAAUCAACCAGAAUUAGAGGUAUAUUUGAUUAAAAAUAAAAAAUAUAUAUUUAAUAUACUUUGGGCCGGGCCGGGCCUGGGCCAAAAAAGUUUUGCCCGAGCCCGGUCCGUUUUUUAUACGGGACUAUUUUUUUGCCCAAACCCAUAUUUCGGGCCUAUAUUUUUACCCGAACCCUCCCUUUUUCAGGAGGGCCAUCAGGCCGAGCCGGAUAACUCAACCCAUGAUCACCUCUAAAAAUGAAUGAGUUGGUGUAAUAUAGGCUAUGAUAUAAUAGGCUAUGAUAUAACCAACAUUCAUGCAAAAUCGAGAAAGAAAUGAAUAAGAUUAUCGUAUGAAAAAUAAAAUAGAAAGGCUAAAAUCACAUGCAAAAUUUUUUCAAGCUCAAGUGUUCUAGCAUAAAAAAACAAUAUAUAAAAUAGAUGCCUAAACAAAGUAGAACACGGGUGAUUACAUCACAAUCUGCAAACAUUGAAUCAACGGGCAUUACCGAGCUUAGUGGAAGAAAAUGUUGGGAAAAUGAAAUACAGAUGCGAUCCUAAGCAACAAAUACAGCUUUGCAUUGCAUGAGAACCUAAUCCCAUCACCAAACUAUUUUAAAUGCGAUUUUCUACACGCAACACAGUGCAGGCAGCAUAUUUGAGAGCAAAAAACCUGACAAAAAGAAGUCAACAAUUUUAAUUUAUAAAAGAAUCAGAGGUUAAUUUUCGAUGUAAAAGAGAACAGACCUGAGCCAGAAAUAUUUGUAAAUAGCGACUUACUUAGUGACAUGCUUUUAACUGGAUCAUAAUGAAAGAUCACUUUUUUCUUCAUUUUCCUUGGAGGAUAAAUGUGAACCCAAGAAUUUAGUAACAGCAGAUUGCUCGGAUGAAGAAUGCGAUGAGCUUGAGAUAUAUUUUCUAGGUAACUUUAGUUUUAAGACGAAGAAGUGUGGUGUUAGAAUAGUGUAUGUGAAAGAUUUGGAAGAAAUAAAAGAGAUGCAUAGCCAUGCCACUCAUUAUUAUGCUAAUUUCGAAGAUAUCUAUCAACACUCUGCUGAUAGCGAUGGAUCAAUACAUAGUACUUCCCUUUCAGUACGAAAACAUAAUACCAACGAUUAAUUUUUACUCAAUUCGAAUAAUAAGAGUUCUCAACUUGAUUAAUUUUUUUUUACUCAAUUCGACUAGAUUCAAUUGAAUUCUCAUCCCUACGCAAGCAAAGGUUUUAUGAGCCGAGCAAUGUUAAGUCUAUAUGUGAUACUAGCACAUUUUAUAUUUACUCAAGCUAGGUUCAGUCCAAUACAAGCUUCAAAUUUUAUCAAGUCCAUCCAAAUUUGUAAAUGGUUAAUUUAAAUCCAUUUUAAGCUUGUUUAUAUAUUUUUUUUAAAAAUACUUAUUUAAUAUUUAAUAAUCUUAUUUUUUUUUUCUUUUACGAGAACUUUAAACAUCAACAACUGUUAAGACCAAGGCUGUCCAAGCAUUGAAGACUCAAUGUCUGAUCAGUCCAGAUGUUGGGACAGGUUUAGUGUUUUAUUGACUUAUUAGAAUUUUUUUGAACCUUGUACUUUUAUCCAAAUCUUCCCAUAUUUAGAUUGAGCCUUUAAGAUUAAACAAGUAAACUGACCCUUAAAUAAGUUUAUUUCCAAAUUAAUCAUAAUGUUGGAUUUUAACUUUGAGAUAUAACUCCACUGAGUAAAAAAAAAAGUGAACAAGUCACACAAAACUAUUGGUCAAAUGAUAAAAGAUUUGAUGCAAAGUCUUUAAUUAACACUAGUCUCGAGUAAAUGUACAAAAAAAUCAGGUCAGAUUUAAGCCUAUGUAAAGUAUUAGCAGAACUUAUGCUUGCUCAAAUAUUAAACACAAAAUAAUUCAAGUCACGUUUAUAUUUUAAAUGAGACUGUUUUUAUUUAAACCUUUUAAAAAAAAUUAAAUAUAUUUUAUAUGUAGAUCCAUAUAAUAUAUAAAAACAACUCCUAUAAAAGCAUUAGGGAAAUAAAUAGUACGAUAACAUAUUUUAUUCUGAGGCAUGUUUUAAAAACUAAAAAUUUUAUUAAGUGUUUUAAAAUUUGGCGAUUAAAUAUAACAUGGAAUGGUUGCAUUUUAAUUAAUCAAUAAAAAUAUGUAUAAAAUGAGAUUUGAAUCUUCGUCAAUUAGGUUAGUAAAACAUAAAAUUGAUCACUUCACCAAAGCUUUAUUUUAAUAUUUAUUACAUAUUUUAGUUUUAUUAUACACAUUUUAUUACUUUCAUCAAUCGUAUAUAUUUAUACUAUUAUUUAAUCUUCUAAUUAAGUUGGUGCCACAAGUAAAUUGGGCACCAACUCAAUUAGAAAAUUACAAAAAUGUCCUUUCAUAAUUAAAAUAAAUUAAAUUAUUUGAGAGUACUUUAGUCUUUUUACUUAAAAAAACAAUAAAAACAUGCUUAUGGUGGGAUUUGAUUUAAAGAUACGUUAAUUGCAUUAGUAAAAAUUUUAAUUUACCACUCAACUAAAAUUUUAUUUUGAUAUUCUUAUAUAUUUCAACUUUAUUAUCCAUACGUUAUUACUUCUAUCAAUUAUUUAAAUUUUUUAUUAAAAUUAUGUCAUGAAUCAAUCCAACAACCACACCAAGAAGCGAAAUGUGCUAAAGCAUAAUAGAAUUAUGGAUUUUGUUCAAAAGGAAUUUUAAUUAUUACAUUUGGGAUAUAAAAAAUUGAUAAUGAAUUUGCCAAGUACCCCAAAUUCAGUUUUCUUUUUCCAUUUGAUGCACAAACAAAAACUCUGAAUUUGCACAUAUAAAUCCAAAUUAUUUUAUUCAAAUUCAUGUUCAGAAAAGUCGUGAUAUUAUUGUGGAAUAUUCAAUGAACCUUAGCAACAAAAAUUGAAUUCCACAGUGACUUCGUUUUCAGUGGAAAAUUCAAACAUACUAUCUAUAAUGGCCUUUCCACAAUAUAAAUGAGAUUAGAUAGAAUUCAAAAUAUAAACUUAACCUUGUUUGCCAACAUGAUAUACUUCUCCAUUUCAAAGUCUUCCCAGUCUUCGUGAUAGAAAUUAUUAAUUAAAUUAUGGGUAAAUUUUUGCGUACGUUGUUAUUGAACAAAACCCCAUUCGAUACUUGUUAUAUCAAACGGUUCAUGAUCCAAUCUAAAUUUUAAAGUUGAAAUAUUAUUUCCAAUAAAAUUCGUAAAAACAUAAGAUUGGAGAAAAUAUUCAGAAAAUGAUUUUUGAAAUUGAAUUAUCUGUUGGUUACAGAUAGUUCUAUUGAUUUUGUUGAAUAUUUCUACUGGUAAAAUCUGUUUAGAUUUGUUAUAUAAACAAAUUCUAAAUAUUUUAUUCAUAAUAGGGGUAUUUUUCCCUUUGUAAAUAAAAUAUUGGAAAAUAUCAAGAAAAUUGUUUAUCUCCUUAAUUUCCAUGAAUUCCAUUUGGAAUUCAUCCCAUUCUCUGUAUAAAAUAGAAUUUAAUAAUAAAUCUUUAGCUUCAUUUUCCUUAGUUGUUUUUUCAACUAAAAAUAAUGAAAAUCUGGUAAGAGCUCUUCGGAAAUUAGCUCUCUGAUUUGAAAUAUGGGUUUUCCAUAUCUCGUUUAUAAAAUCAUAAAAUUCUGGUGAUAAACCAGGAUUAUAAAAAUCUUUUAUUUUUAAAAUUUCUUUUUCAUCUUCUAUUUGUUGUUCUUUCAACAAAUUUUCGGAUCUUUUGAUCAUAUCAGCAUAAUUGGUUUGUGAUGCUAAAUAUGGAUCUUGGGACAUUGGUGAUUGAUACACCAUGUUAGAAAAACUGCUUCCAAGUGGUUGGUUUACCAUUGGAUAUUUUAAAACAUUUGGUCCAAGUGGUUGAUUUACCAUUGGAUAAGACACAUAAUAUCCUUGGUUAGGAUAAAAUGGUAUUUGUGCAGGUACAAAUCCUUUUUUGGAGUUUGAUUCUGCUUUUCCUUUGUUGGGCUUUUUGCGAACGGUAGUCGAUUCACCUACAGUUUCUUGUAGAGGCUUUUUACCUCUAUCCAUUAAAAGGCCUGCUCAAAAAAUCAGCAAAUAUUAGUAAUAAAUUACAAAUAUUAACUGAUUAAUUUUAAUAGGUGUAAAUAUUUUAUUACACACAAUUUUAUUAUUUUCUUCAAGUGGAAUUUCCACAAAAUCUUCUUUUACUGAUAGCCAAAUAGAAUGUUUAUCAAUAGUAAAAGGUAAGUACUUACAAAUAAAAUUAUUACCUAAUAAUAUAUCUCCUUUCAUGUUAGGAAAACAUACUAUUUUAGGAAUCACAAAUCUAACAUUGUUUAUAUAGAUUGAUAUAUUUUUAGCUUUAUAUUUUAUAAUAGUUUUACUACCUUCUAUUCCCAUUAUUUUUAUGGGUUUCUUCAUUAAUUCGCAUUUUUCUACAGGAAUCGCAUUUUCUCUACAACUACAUAUUGUAGCUCCAGUAUCUAUCAAGGCAUUUAGAGAAUAUUUUUUAUAUUUUUUAAACUGAAAUGUAACUUUUAUAAUUAUUCCAAGUUUUGACUUUUUAUCAAUUGUUGAAGUUUGAAUUUCUUCCAUUCUAGUUUUUCUAGAAUUAUUACUAGGUUCAGUAGGAAAUAUAGGAAUUUGAACUGUAACAGGUUUCCACCCUGCAAUUAAAGACAUUUCAAAGUCUUCCCAGUCUACGUGAUAGAAAUUAUUAAUUAAAUUAUGGGUAAAUUUUUGCCUACAUUGUUAUUGAACUAUAAAUUAAUUUUUAUUCAAGGUAUUAGAUUGUUAAGUUUUUCCUUUUUAAAGUUCCACCAAUAAGUUUCAAGUGACAAUUCGAUAAUCGGUAUGAUAGAUGAACACUCAUCAACGAGUAAAAUAACACACCUUAUAUUUAAAUCGGUCUAAUAGUCAGUGUCGAAGAUCGAAGAAAAAAUUUUGUUUGAAUUUUGGUUUACAGAUUCAUGUCCAAAGUUGUUUCAUAAAAAAAAAUUGAAUUAUGUAAGAGAAGGGGAAAGAAAACUUUCGAUUGGUGUUAAUAGUGUGAAUAGAGAAAGUCAUAUAGCAUUGAUUUUAAUACCAAUGAAUUAAAAGAGAACUUUUAAAUAGUUCAAUGACCAAAUUGUAAUUUUUUUAGUUAAGUGACCAAAAAGAAAACUUACCCAUAAUUUAGUGACUAAUGAUAUAGUUUACCUAAAAUUUUCAUGGUAGGAAAUACGAAAAUUUUCAAAAUUUCUCCACUUUUAUUUCAUUUAGAACACAUGGUCUCUCUCACUAUAAGAUAAGAAACCUAAACUUCAAAAAAAAAUUUAUUUAAUUCUAAUAUGUAUUUUAAAAUUUAUUUUAUUAAAACCAUUAAUAGUUUUUUUUCUAAAAAUACAAUGAUAUUCAUAAUUAAUAUUUUAUAUUAUUUAUUUUUAAUAUAAUUAUUCUUUUUUAUAAUUAAUUUUUUAAACUAUAAAAUGCUAGCAACUAACUUUUUUUCUAAAUAAAUUAUUUAUCCAAACAAAAUAUUUACGAAUACUACCAUUUUGAAUUUAUAUGAAUUCUAAAAUGCUAGCAUUUUAAAUAUAUAAAAAAUUUAAUAUUCUUCAUCCAAAUACACUUUAAAUAUUUUAAUAAAAAAACACAAGUUCAUCUUGACCUAUUGGAUUUUAAAAAUAAAACUAAAUAUUAUAUAAAACUUGAAAUAUAAAAAUUAAUAAAUUCAAAAAAUUAAUUAUCCAUUUCAAAAAAUAUAUAAAAAAUGAAAAUUAUUACAAAAUUUAAAUGUUUCAGAAAAAUACAAUAAAUUAUAAAUAUUUGAAAAAUUAUUAAAAGUUUAAAAAUGUUAAAAUAAAAAUACAUGCAAUAGUAAUAAAAUGCUCUAAAAAAUUAAAACAAUUAUAAAAAGUAAAUAAAAAUUUCAAAAUUUUGAAAAUCACAAAAAAACUGUAUAAAACCCUAUUAGCAUGGUCGGCCACACUAUGCUACUUAUGAUGCUUAAAUAUAUACAAAAUCCUAGUAGCAUUAACUUAUUGUAAACAGUGGGGUACAAACCCUACUACUCUAUUUGGAAGCCUUUAAAACUUUAUUUAAUUUUACAAUCAUAAUUCUUAAUGAAAAACCCUAUAUUUUUCCACUUCACCUACCGUGAGAAACAAAUGCUUAUGUAAUUGUUAAUGAAGGAACGAUGUUUCUCUUCGGCUAGUGUCAACUCAUUAGGAGUGUCCACUUCAUUUGAUCCUGCUGGGAAUUCUCCGGCUUUGAUAACAGAGCUCAAGUCAUCGGGCAAUGAAGCAACACCGUCCAAAUACGAUAUAACGCUGGACAUGCUAGGCCUAGCCGCUGCCACCGGGUAUGAGCAAAGCAACCCAAGCUUCAACACCAACUCCGCUUGUUGUUCCACAAAUCUCUUCUCCAAACUCUUAUCAAUAGUCGCCAAAAUGUCUCCUUUAUCCCAGCAAUCCUUUAUCCAGUCAGCAAGAAAUGCUUCCUCUGGUGGCGCUCGUGGUUCGAUCGGCUUUCCACCACAUGCAACUUCAAGCAUGAAUGCUCCAAAUGCAUAUAUAUAUAUAUAUAUAUAUAUAUAUAUAUAUAUAUAUAUAUAUAUAUANNNNNNNNNNNNNNNNNNNNNNNNNNNNNNNNNNNNNNNNNNNNNNNNNNNNNNNNNNNNNNNNNNNNNNNNNNNNNNNNNNNNNNNNNNNNNNNNNNNNCCUGCUACGUACAUGCGAGCCAUGAACAUUCAUCAUGUUCUCUUGGCUUGCAUAUUGAAAUGCAAAAUUUAGAAACGUCUGUACUCCAUUUCGAUAACCGUUGCUUACCCUUGACAAAUUCAUCCAAGACCGGUCCAUUUCUUAAUUAUUGAAGUCUGACCUUGACAAUAAUUUGCACGGGUAAGUUAAAACGCCAGAUAUAACUAUAAAUGAGUUAUGUAAGUUAUGAUAUGAUAUAUUUUUAUGUAUUAUGUACUAAGUUAUGUAAGUUGUGUAUUAUGUGAGUUAUGUGAGUUAUGUAAGUUAUUUAAUAUAUGUAAGUUAUGUAAGUUAUGUAGGCUAUGUAUUAUCUAAAUAAUGUAAGUUAGGGAGGUUAUGUAUUAUGUAAGUUAUUUAAGUUAUGUAAGUUAUUUAAUUUAUGUAAGUUAUGUAAGUUAUGUAAGUUAUGUAAGUUAUUUAAUUUAUGUAAGUUAUUUAGAAAAAAUUAUGUAAGUUAUGUACUAAGUUAUGUAUUAUGUAAAUAAUGUAAGUUAGGAAGGUUAUUUAAGUUAUGUAUUAUGUAAGUUUAUAUAUAAGUUAUGAUAUAUAUUAUUGAUAAAUUUAAGUUAUAUAUUGUAUGUUAUUUAAGUUAUGUAUUAUGUAAGUUUAUAUAUAAGUUAUGAUAUAUAUUAUUGAUAAAUUUGAGUUAUGUAAGUUUUGAUAUGAUCGAUAAAUUUUGAAAAAAUUAUAGAUUUUAAAAAUAUAUAUAUUAAAAAUGUACAUACCAAUAUUUAUAAGUUAUGUAGGUUAUAUAUUUAAAAAUUUGGUUAUAUAAAUAUUUAUAAUUGUUUUUAAAAUUUAAAAAUUGUUUACUAAUAAAUUUGAAAUAUAGGUUAUAUAUCCAAUUUACAUUUAUUCGAUAAAUUAUAAUAUUUAUUAUUAAUAAAAUUGGAAUAUAGGUUAUAUGUUAUAUAUUAAUAUAUAUUAAUAAAAUUAUAUGUCCAUAUUAAUAUAUGUUAUAUAUUAAAAAGAUUUUGUCUUAUAAUAUAUGAGUAAUAUUUGUGUCCCAAAUUGAUUGUGUUUUCUGCACGAAAGGUUGCGUACAUGGUUCAAAUUCAAGUAAAGGAAAAUAUUUUCAGCAAAGAAAACCGAACACAUGAAGUACAAUUUGAGAUUUAAGCAAAGACUAAAUUCAGUAUCCGUACAUGGUUGAUUUAGCAGCAAAAAACAAUAAAAUGUACCAUCUUAGCAGCAAAAACAGAUGAGACAUUUAAAUUAUGUUUUGUAAACUUAUGAAUUAUUUAAUCAUUUGAAAUAUAUAAUUACAACGAACAAAAAUCAAAUCUGAACAUGAAACAAAUUUACAUGAACUAAAAACUUUAAAUCAAUUCAGUUCACAAUUGCAAUUAUAUUUGAUUUCAAUUUGGAUCUUUACAAACCAUGAGAAUACUGUAUAAUAUUUGCAAUUAUAUUCCAUAACCGAAAUUAAUUCAAACACUUAGGAGAAAGAUGGAGCAAAAAACAUCUUGAAGACCAGAACAAUAACCAGAAAUAAAUACAAUAAGCAACAACAUUAACCACAACGUGCAGCAAAAAAAGAACUUGCAACAACAUUAACCCCUAACAUUAACCAGCAACAUUAAGCAGAACUUCCAGCAAAAAAGAACUUGCAGCAGCAUUAACCAAAUACCAAAUUAAAACAGUCCCAACUACAAAUAUAUCAAAUAUAAAAACAGGCCAAAAUCACAUGUAAAUUUAUAAAACGAAAAAACAAAUAAAAUAAAGGAUAAACUAACCUUCUGGUUGUAACAACCCUAUACCAGUCUAAUCGUACAGAUCCAGUAUAAGGCUAUUACAUUUGGUGCCAAAACAGUCAUAGCUAGAUAUUGUUUAAUUAAAUCAAUUAUACAUAGUACUUUAACUUACCAACCAUAUUUGCAAACAUACGUAUAGUUUCACUAAUCCAUUUCAUAUAUAUAUACCAAAAUAUUUCAAGUACCUCAAAUUAGAUAGAAAUUCAAGAGUUUACAUUUUAGUUCCUAAUAUGUGGAAAUAUAACUGACUGCCUAUGUACAUGCCAUUUUAAUUCAAAAUAUGGUACCUACUUUUGAAACUCUUGAGGAUGUGAUGAGAUGAGAGAUCUUCUAUCCUGACUUUAUCUCUUCAAGUCAAACUGUACCUACGCGUUAAAAUUAAACGCGUUAAGCCGGUGAAGACUUAGUAAGCACUACAAGAAUAAACAAAUAAAUAAAUGUAAAUAAAAUAUUUCGAACUCAUUCUGUUGUUGCGUAUUUACGUACGUAUAAGCUUCAUAAAACUUACCUUAGCAUAUUAAUGAUUCGCUUUUAUCCACAAAUCAUAAUCUUAGCCCAAAAUAGAUUUUCAUAGAACACACCGGAUAUACGGAACAAAUACAGAGGUGCAUUAUUAUGCACUAAUGAACAGAGAGCACUAAAGUGCUAUACAGAGAGCACAGAUGUGCUAAACAGAGAGCACUGACGUGCUAAAUAUCAGAGAGCACCAACGUGCUAAUAGUCAGAGAGCACUAACGUGCUAAUAAUCAGAGAGCACUAACGUGCUAAUAAUCAGAGAGCGCGCUAAAGUUCCUUAAUGGCAUGCCACUAAUAUCCUGGUAGUUCUAAAUUCCAUCUACUUGGGCACUAAAACUGAAUCUCAUUCAUUUAAAUACUUUAUAGAAUUAUUUUGAAAAAGAUUUCUCAUUUCUCCAUCAUUACAAUUCAAUGCUUAUUUCACAAUUCACAAUUAUCACACCAUUUUCACACACACACACACAUAUAUAUACACUUUUGUCACAACAUUACUUAUUGUUCAAACAUUAUACCAUCUUAUAUUUUCCAUAUAUAAUUUUUCUUUACAAAUUUCAUAGUUCCAUAAUCUUUUAUUUUACUUUAUUUUAUUUUAUUUCUAAAUAGUUCUAUACUAUAAUAUAGGCAUUUAAAAUAAAUAAUUUCUAAAAAAAAUAAUCUUGUAGUACUUACAACAAAAAGGUUGAGAUGAUGUCUUCCUUCACUCCUUAGCCUUCUCUUUUCCUUUUUCUUCAAUAAGGUCCUUUCCUUUCCUUUCUUUCUCUUCAAUUUCAUAUAAAACACAUAAUAUUUAUAUAUUAGAAAAACAAUCAAAUAACUUUCCUAUAUCAUUUAAUAAAAAUAAACAUAUAUGAUAUAAUAAUUUCAUAAUUUCUUACCUUAGCUAAUAUUUCAAUUUAAUUCAUAACUAAAAUUAUUUCUAUUUCUAUCACAACCUAUACCUUAUUUCUACUUAAAUUCAACUUACACCUUAACUUAACUCUCAAAUUUUCACUAAUAAACCUUAAUUUCGAAUUUCUUACAAUUUUACAUUAAACUUAUAACUUAUUUCUCAAUUUCAUCCUUUUCCCAAUCCUAGUUUGAAUUUCCAUCAAUUCAACCUCUAAUUCAUCCACUAAUUCAAUAUAAACUACAUAAAAAAAUUCUACUAACUUUCAAAAUUUCAACAUAUACCUACUAGUAUUUUGAUCUAGAAUCAUAAAAACUCAAAAAUUUCAAGAAAAUGACUUAAUUUGACUUACCGAUUUGAAAUUGAACCUUAAAACCCUAAAUUCCUUCUUUACUUUUUCUUUCUUUCUUUCUCCCCUGUUUCUCCCCUGUUUCGUUUCAAAUGCUAUUCUGUUUCUUUCUCUUUAUUUCUUUUCUUUUGUUUUAUAUAUAUUUAUAUAAUAAUAUAAUAUUAUAAUAAUAUAAUAUAAUAACUUACUUAUUAAUUAAAUAACAUAAUAUAUAAUAUAUAUAUUUAAAUAAAAAAAAUAUCUUAGAUAUUUCAUUUGUUAUGCCGCCUCAAUUUUAGAAAAAGGCAUAAUUGCCUAUUUGGUCCUUUUAACUUUCUUUAAUUUAUAAUUAAACUUUCACACUUAUUUCAAUCUAAUCCCUUUUUCCUAAUUACUUCUAAUUAAAUCAAUUUCACCUAGUCAAAACAUAAUUAGACACACAACUAACUUCGUAAAUAUUUAUAAUAAAUAUUUACGAAUCCGAUUUACCGGAACGGAGUCCCGGAAAUGCAUUUUUUUAUUUAAUCUAUUUAAAUAAAUUUUACCAUAUAAUCAAUAAAAUUUUAUUAUCAAAAUUUUCAUGCAACCUUCCUAUCAUAAUAUAGACCAUACCACAAUAUUAAAAUAAAUUUUCUUUCUAGCUCGGAUUUGUGGUUACGAAACCACUAUUCCGAUUUACUGAAAAUGGGUCAUUACACUAGUUAUCUACCCUUUCUAUGUAUUGCUUCAAACCAGUGACAGGUAGCAAAUUUGCAGACUAGAUUGCUAAAACUAAAUUGCUGCAACCAAAGGAAAGAAAAAAUUAACUAAGAAAAAACUAAACUUGUUCAACUUCAUCACUAAAACAAAUUUACAUGAACUUAAGUGAAUAAUCAAUUGUCAAAUUAUCUAAAUCAAAAUAUUAAAAUAGCGUAUUUUAUAUAUAAAAUUUUCUUAAAUUUUAUACUGAUUAAACCUAAAUAGAAAGACAAAACAAACGUCCUGACUCCUUUAAACAAAAAUAAUUAGAAAUAAAAAACAAGGUUUAGAAUAUGCUGCAAAAUUGUUUUUAAUUUCGAAAUUAACUUUAACCACAAACAAAUUAAAAAUAUAUAUCAAUACAAAAAUUACUUAGGAAUUCGAAAGCAUACAAGUUAUUGUCAAAAUGUAAGACAGUUACUGCCUAAAACCCUAAACAAAAUAAAUUGGUAAAGCUAAAAUUAAGAGAAAAGAAUUUCAUACCUUUACGAAGACGGAGAGAAAGUAAAUCGGACAGGAUGUGAUUCCACAAUACUCAAAAAUGAGAUUGUUUUAUGAGCUUCGGAAACCCUUAAACCAUGGACGAAAUGGAAUGUUAACAAUAUUGAACCCUAAACAUGAAAAAUAAGAGGGAAAUCAAACCGGUUCGUGCUUACCCAAAAAACUAUUCCACUGUUCGUCUUCCUCUAAAUGCUGUGAAGAAUUAAACGCACUAAACCGACUAAAUGAAGAACCGAAUAAAGUAAAAGACUCCAUGAAUGUCUGGAAUUAGGGAAGUGGAGGAGAUUUCGAAAGGAAAAUAGGGAUUUGGAAGGGGAAGGGGAAGGAAACCGAGUUUAGGGGCUGCGUACGGGUUUUAGGGUUCGAAAGGGGAAAUAUGUGACGCCAAGCAGAGCGACGACGUUCAGAAUAUCUGAACUGUUCCUCAAAUGAAACGGCGACGUUCUGAACAUUUUGUAAUACACAGUUGCGGCGUUUUCAGAAAAAAUGCCGCUAAAGCUUACAAUUUGCGGCGUUUUAAAUAAAAACGCCACUAAAGAGUUAAAACCAUUUAAGAAAACGACGCCGUUUUCAUACACACAAUAAUUUAUGGAUUUGCGAUGUUUUUAUAAAAAACGCCACUAUCGUAUACCUACAGUGGCGUUUUUCAUAAAAACACCACUAAAAAUCAAAUUCAUGUAUCCAAACAGCACCAUUUUACAUAAUUUUAAACACAUUUUUGCGGCGUUUCUGGCCCAAACGCCACUACUGUAAAAAAUUUCCAAGUAUUUAAUAAUUUAAAAAAUUUAAAAUAUCAUACAACAAUAUGACAAUAUUAUUUUUAAUUCUAUUAAAUGGGAAAUUUGAUUUUUAGUGAUGGUAUUUUUCUUAAAAUUUAAGGUAGGAACUUAAUCCGUAUAUAGUGUUUGUAUUUUUCUAAAACUUCAAUUUAAAAAUUUAAUUCGGUGAAGUCAGGUUGUAUUUUUCAAAAAUACUAAAUAACCUAAACCCUAAAUCACAACCCCUAUAUAUCCUGAAAACCAUCAACCGUAAACUUUUUACCCUAAACCCUUAAACCCUAAACCCUUAACCCUUAACCCUUAAUCCUAAACCCUUAACCCUAAAUUGAUAUAGACCCUCUUAUCCCUUAAACCCUAAAUCUUAAACCUAUAAAUCAUAAACCAUGACCCUUAACCCCUAACACCUACACCCUAAGCCCCAACCUCAAAUGAUAAACCACAAACCAUAAUACGUAACCCUUAACCAUAUCCCCUAAACCUUCAAUCAUAUAACAUUAACUAUAAACCCCUAACCCUUAACCCUAAACACUUCAACCUUAGACCCCAACUAUUGCACCAUAAUCCCUAAACCCCUAACUCAACCAUAUUCCUUAAACCCUGAAUCAUAGAACAUAUAUAAACCCUAAAUCUUAAACCCUAAAUCAUAAAACAUUUAUAAACUAUAAACCUUAAACCUCAACCCUUAAAUAAUAAACAAUAAACAAUAAACCGUAAGGCCUAAAUCCAUAAUCCCUAAACCGCCAAUGUGUUGAAAGCUCAACAAAAAAAAAUAUUGUUUUGCUUAACGAUUUUGCGGCGUUUUUCUAAACGCGCCACUAAUGUCUCUAAACCUCCACAAGAAAACGACAACGUUUUGCUUAAAUAUUUUUGAGGCGCUUAACAUAAAGCGCCACUAAUGCUUGACUUCUACGGCGUUUUUAAAGCUGCGCCGCUAGUGUACCUAAACCUUAACAACAAAACGGUGCCGUUUGCAUAGCAAUUCUUGCGGCGUUAGCGUAAAACCGCCGCUAAUUAUUGAAUUUUGCGGCGUUUUAGCAAGGCGCCACUAAUAUCUCUAAAAGUAAACGUUGCGUUUUGGAUAAGAUCUUCGUGGCAUUUUCGCGUAAGCGCCACUAAUUCUAGUAUACAUCAAGACCAAACUCUGUGUUUUGGUUAAGAUACUUUGCGGCGCUUUUCACCAAAUGCCGCUAAUACUAUGCUUUAGCGGCAUUUCCCUUAAGCGCCACUAAUGCUAGUAUACAUAAAGACUAACACGCUGCGUUUUGGUUAAGAUACUUUGCGGUGCUUUACAAUAAGCGCCACUAAUUCUAGUGUACCUCAAGACCGAACUCCGCGUAUUGGUUAAGAUAUGUUGCGGCGCUUUUCAAAGCACGCCGCUAAUACUGUACUUUAGUGGCGUUUUGUCGUCGACGCCACUAAUUCUAGUAUACAUCAAGACUAAAACGCUGCGUUUUGGUUAAGGUAUUUUGCGGCGCUUCCCACUACACGCCGCUAAGACUAUGCUUUAGCGGCGUUUUGUCAUAAACGCCACUAAUUCUAAUAUACAUCAAGAUUAAAACGAUGCGUUUUCGUUAAGAUUGUUUGCGGCGCUUUUCACCGAGCGCCGCUAAUACUUGCUUUAGUGGCGUUUUGUCAUAAACGCCACUAAUUCUAAUAUACAUCAAGAUCAAAACGAUGCGUUUUCGUUAAGAUUGUUUGCGGCGCUUUUAACCGAGCACCGCUAAUACUUGCUUUAGUGGCGUAUUCCAAUAAUCGCCACUAAUUUUGGUAUACAUCAAGACCAAAACGCUGUGUUUUGGUUAAGAGAUUUUGCGGCGCUUGAAGGUAACGGUCAAAAAAAUGAUUGUUGCACUGUUCACGCACGGGGCAAAUCGCGUCCCCAAGAGCGCGCUACACAUCAGCAAAUCGUGUCCACGUCAGCGCGCUUUGCUUACGUGGAUGCGAUUUGCUGAUACGUUUCCUGACUUCGCGCUGACGUGGACGCGAUUUAGGGGAAAGGGCCCAUUCUGGUAAAUAAUGGAAUACCGUGCCCAUUUCGGUAAAUUUAAAAAAAUUAGGCUUUUAAUGGUAAAUUGUCCUAACAUAUCAUCAUUUAAUUAAUUUUUUAAAAUUUAAAAAAAUAAAAAAAUAUUUAAAAAUUAAUUAAAUACUGACAUGUUAUUCACAUGGGAAUCUACAUAUAUACUACAUCAGCAAAGUGAAUAAAUAUUAAUUUUCCUAUUUAUUUUAAAGUGAUUUGACAAAAAAUUUAAAGUAAAACACAAACUUAAGAACAGUUGCAAUUAUUGUAGGCUCCAUUUUAUCAACACCCACCUUGUUGGAUUCAUAUGCAUCACUCAUUUAUGGCCCCCCAAUUUCCACAACUACGCGCAUUCAUUUGGAAAGUGAAAAGGUUAUAGAGAAAUUGCUUAGAAACCACCUUUAUUCUUCCCUGGAAAUUUGAUCUGUUUCUAGUUUCUUUCAGACGUAUUGAGCUAUCAGUUUUCUGAUUUUCAACACUACAUCCACAUUUUUUUUUUCUCGCACAUCGUCAUGUCGUCAUUACCUUCAACUUCUUCGUCCAAUUCUAGAAAGAAAUAUGAUGUUUUCUUGAGUUUUAGAGGUGAAGAUACCCGCACCAACUUUACCGAUCAUCUCUAUGAUGCUUUAAGUAGGAGUGGGAUCGUCACUUUCAGGGAUGAUCCAAAGCUGGAGGCCGGCGAAGAGAUCGCGCCAGAACUCUUUACAGCAAUUCAGCAAUCAUGGUGUUCGGUAAUCGUUUUUUCACAAACUUAUGCCUUUUCAAGUUGGUGCUUGGAGGAGCUUGCUGAGAUUGUUAAACAACAUAACAACGACGGUCAUAAAGUGUUUCCAAUUUUUUACGAUGUUGAUCCAUCUGAUUUAAGAAAACGAAAAGAGAAAGUGGAAGAAGUCUUUGCUAGACAUAAAGAUAGUGAGAAGAUCCAAAGGUGGCGAAAUGCUUUAAUUCAAGUGGCUGGAAUCAAGGGAUGGUAUUUAAAUAACAGGUAACUCUUUCUUUUCUUCUCUCUAUUUUCUAUUUUUUGGGAUAUAUAUGUAUAACUUUGUUUUUUUCUUUCUAAUCCUAUGUGUUUAAUUGAAAAAUGUCUUGGUUCUUGUUUGCUUCCAAACUAUAUUAUGUUUCAUGAUUCAUUGAAAAAGAAAGUGCAUUUGAUAAUAUGAAAAAAAAAAAUUAUUCAAAAGAUUAAAAUUUAUUUUCUUGUAGGCAUGAAUCAGAAUUUAUUAGAGAGAUUAUUAAGAAGAUAUCAGCAAAACUAUGUCACCCAGUUACUCAUAGUGACUUGGUUGGAAUGACUGAACGCUUGGAGGAUUUAUAUUUGAAAAUAAACAUUGGGGAAAAUGAUGUCCGCAUUAUAGGGAUUUGCGGAAUGGGUGGUAUCGGUAAAACAACACUCGCAAGACUUGCUUAUAAUCAAAUGUCACGUCAUUUUGAAAGUAAAAGCUUUAUUGCUGAUAUUCGAGAAGUUUCAGACAGAUGUGGAUUAGUUUCUUUACAGAAACAACUUCUUUCUGAGAUUUUUCAUGAUGAAUGCUUCAAAUUUUUCAAUGUUCAUGAAGGGAACGAUAUAAUUAGUCAUAUGUUGUCUCGCAAAAAGGUUCUUGUUGUUCUUGAUGAUGUUGAUAACAUACAACACUUAAAAUGCUUGGUUGGAAGGCACGAUUGGUUCGGAUUAGGGAGUAGAAUCAUUGUAACAACAAGAGAAGAACAUUUGCUUCGAUCUUGGCCAGUUAAUGAUAUGUAUGAGCCCACAACAUUGAAUCCCAAAGAUGCGCUUCAGCUUUUCAGUCUGAAAGCUUUUCAUAGUGAUACAGUGCCGAAAGAUGAUUUCAUUGAGCUUUCUUACCAUGUUGUAAAAUAUGCUGGUGGGCUGCCGUUAGCUCUUGAAAUUUUGGGUUGCUUUUUAUGCGGUAGAGAUGCUACUCAAUGGAGAAGUGCAAUUGAAAGACUUAAAAGAGAUUCUAACAAAGAAAUUCUUGAUAAACUUCGAAUCAGUUUUGAUGGAUUGGAAGAAAGGGAGAAGAAUAUAUUUCUAGAUAUAGCAUGCUUCUUCAAUGGGGAGGAGAAAGAUUGUGUAAAGAAAGUAUUGGAUGGUUGUGAGUUNNNNNNNNNNNNNNNNNNNNNNNNNNNNNNNNNNNNNNNNNNNNNNNNNNNNNNNNNNNNNNNNNNNNNNNNNNNNNNNNNNNNNNNNNNNNNNNNNNNNUGUUCUCAUUAAAAAAUCUCUCAUAAAAGUCGAUGAACACAAAUAUUUGUGGAUGCAUAACUUGUUGCAAGAAAUGGGAAGAAAAAUUGUUAGAGAAAAAUGUGUUGAUAAACCUGGAAAACGUUGCAGAUUAUGGGAGGAAAGAGACGUCUAUCAUGUCCUAACAAAAAACACUGUAAGUCAUUUAACAAAAGUUACAUACUAUUUCUAUUUUGUUAUAUAAUAUCAAAUCAAUAUAUGAUAUAAACCCAAAGCUUAGUCUAAUUGGUUGAUACAACUAUUCUUAAAAAGUGAUCUUUAGUAAUUUUGAGAUUACAAAUAUUAAAAAGGAUUUGUAGAAAUAAAUAUUUAAUUUCAUUGCAUUACCCUCUUUAGAGCAUAAUAUUUGUAGAAAUUGUUUUAUUUAAAUUUAAAAUGCUUUAUUUAUUAUAAUUAGAAUAUAAUAAUGCUAAAAAAAAGUAAGUUUUUAAAAGUUUUAUCCUACAUUAUACACCAUUUAAUUUAAUUUAUUUUCUAUUUUUGAUUUUUCUUAGGGUACAAAAAUAAUUGAAGGUAUAAUCAUCGAUAAUAAAAGGUAAGAAAACAUAAACUUAUAUUUACGUGUAAUAUGAUAAAAAAAUAUAGCAAAACCUUUGACACCCAAUAUUUCAAUGUUUAAUUAAAAAAUUUAUCUACUAGCGUAUUACUCUUCCAAAAGAUUCAAUAGAGAAAUGUAUGUCUUUUUGAAAUAUUAAUAGUAUAUCAAUGAAAUAGACUAUAACAUAACUUUUAGAUAUUGAAUGUUUUAGUAUAUUUUGAAGCUCAUUUUUGCUUUGCUCACUUAUAUUAGGGAAUCGGGCAAGAUGCUCAACUUGAGUGUCGAUGCCUUCUCAAAAAUGAAAAAAUUGAGAUUGCUCAAAGUGCUUUGCCUAUUAAAUUGUGAUGAUCUCAAAUUUCUUUCUAAUGAGCUACGGCUUUUAGAUUGGAAAGGAUGCCCUUUAAGAUCGUUACCUUCAAGCUUUCAACCGGACAACCUUGUUGCACUUCUUUUAUCAUAUAGUCGCAUUCAACAACUAUGGAAGGG
rnacentral:lncRNA from 1 species